GUGCGAAAGCGUGGGGAGCAAACAGGAUUAGAUACCUGGUAGUCCACGCUGUAAACGAUGUCGAUUGGAGGUUGUGCCAUUGAGGCGUGGCUUCCGGAGCUAACGCGUUAAAUCGACGGCUUGGGGAGUACGGCCGCAAGGUUAAAACUCAAAUGAAUUGUCGGGGGCCCGCACAAGCGGUGGAGCAUGUGGUUUAAUUCGAUGCAACGCGAAGAACCUUACCUACUCUUGACAUCCAGAGAACUUUCCAGAGAUGGAUUGGUGCCUUCGGGAACUCUGAGACAGGUGCUGCAUGGCUGUCGUCAGCUCGUGUUGUGAAAUGUUGGGUUAAGUCCCGCAACGAGCGCAACCCUUAUCCUUUGUUGCCAGCGGUUCGGCCGGGAACUCAAAGGAGACUGCCAGUGAUAAACUGGAGGAAGGUGGGGGUGACGUCAAGUCAUCAUGGCCCUUACGAGUAGGGCUACACACGUGCUACAAUGGCGUAUACAAAGAGAAGCGACCUCGCGAGAGCAAGCGGACCUCAUAAAGUACGUCGUAGUCCGGAUUGGAGUCUGCAACUCGACUCCAUGAAGUCGGAAUCGCUAGUAAUCGUAGAUCAGAAUGCUACGGUGAAUACGUUCCCGGGCCUUGUACACACCGCCCGUCACACCAUGGGAGUGGGUUGCAAAAGAAGUAGGUAGCUUAACCUUCGGGAGGGCGCUUACCACUUUGUGAUUCAUGACUGGGGUGAAGUCGUAACAAGGUAACCA
rnacentral:rRNA from 1 species